CACACGGCGGGUGCUAACGUCCGUCGUGAAGAGGGAAACAACCCAGACCGCCAGCUAAGGUCCCAAAGUCAUGGUUAAGUGGGAAACGAUGUGGGAAGGCCCAGACAGCCAGGAUGUUGGCUUAGAAGCAGCCAUCAUUUAAAGAAAGCGUAAUAGCUCACUGGUCGAGUCGGCCUGCGCGGAAGAUGUAACGGGGCUAAACCAUGCACCGAAGCUGCGGCAGCGACGCUGAUGCGUUGUUGGGUAGGGGAGCGUUCUGUAAGCCUGCGAAGGUGUGCUGUGAGGCAUGCUGGAGGUAUCAGAAGUGCGAAUGCUGACAUAAGUAACGAUAAAGCGGGUGAAAAGCCCGCUCGCCGGAAGACCAAGGGUUCCUGUCCAACGUUAAUCGGGGCAGGGUGAGUCGACCCCUAAGGCGAGGCCGAAAGGCGUAGUCGAUGGGAAACAGGUUAAUAUUCCUGUACUUGGUGUUACUGCGAAGGGGGGACGGAGAAGGCUAUGUUGGCCGGGCGACGGUUGUCCCGGUUUAAGCGUGUAGGCUGGUUUUCCAGGCAAAUCCGGAAAAUCAAGGCUGAGGCGUGAUGACGAGGCACUACGGUGCUGAAGCAACAAAUGCCCUGCUUCCAGGAAAAGCCUCUAAGCAUCAGGUAACAUCAAAUCGUACCCCAAACCGACACAGGUGGUCAGGUAGAGAAUACCAAGGCGCUUGAGAGAACUCGGGUGAAGGAACUAGGCAAAAUGGUGCCGUAACUUCGGGAGAAGGCACGCUGAUAUGUAGGUGAAGUCCCUUGCGGAUGGAGCUGAAAUCAGUCGAAGAUACCAGCUGGCUGCAACUGUUUAUUAAAAACACAGCACUGUGCAAACACGAAAGUGGACGUAUACGGUGUGACGCCUGCCCGGUGCCGGAAGGUUAAUUGAUGGGGUCAGCGCAAGCGAAGCUCUUGAUCGAAGCCCCGGUAAACGGCGGCCGUAACUAUAACGGUCCUAAGGUAGCGAAAUUCCUUGUCGGGUAAGUUCCGACCUGCACGAAUGGCGUAAUGAUGGCCAGGCUGUCUCCACCCGAGACUCAGUGAAAUUGAACUCGCUGUGAAGAUGCAGUGUACCCGCGGCAAGACGGAAAGACCCCGUGAACCUUUACUAUAGCUUGACACUGAACAUUGAGCCUUGAUGUGUAGGAUAGGUGGGAGGCUUGGAAGUGUGGACGCCAGUCUGCAUGGAGCCGACCUUGAAAUACCACCCUUUAAUGUUUGAUGUUCUAACGUUGACCCGUAAUCCGGGUUGCGGACAGUGUCUGGUGGGUAGUUUGACUGGGGCGGUCUCCUCCUAAAGAGUAACGGAGGAGCACGAAGGUUGGCUAAUCCUGGUCGGACAUCAGGAGGUUAGUGCAAUGGCAUAAGCCAGCUUGACUGCGAGCGUGACGGCGCGAGCAGGUGCGAAAGCAGGUCAUAGUGAUCCGGUGGUUCUGAAUGGAAGGGCCAUCGCUCAACGGAUAAAAGGUACUCCGGGGAUAACAGGCUGAUACCGCCCAAGAGUUCAUAUCGACGGCGGUGUUUGGCACCUCGAUGUCGGCUCAUCACAUCCUGGGGCUGAAGUAGGUCCCAAGGGUAUGGCUGUUCGCCAUUUAAAGUGGUACGCGAGCUGGGUUUAGAACGUCGUGAGACAGUUCGGUCCCUAUCUGCCGUGGGCGCUGGAGAACUGAGGGGGGCUGCUCCUAGUACGAGAGGACCGGAGUGGACGCAUCACUGGUGUUCGGGUUGUCAUGCCAAUGGCACUGCCCGGUAGCUAAAUGCGGAAGAGAUAAGUGCUGAAAGCAUCUAAGCACGAAACUUGCCCCGAGAUGAGUUCUCCCUGACCCUUUAAGGGUCCUGAAGGAACGUUGAAGACGACGACGUUGAUAGGCCGGGUGUGUAAGCGCAGCGAUGCGUUGAGCUAACCGGUACUAAUGAACCGUGAGGCUUAACCUU
rnacentral:rRNA from 1 species